UACGAAGGGGGCUAGCGUUGCUCGGAAUCACUGGGCGUAAAGCGCACGUAGGCGGACUCUUAAGUCGGUGGUGAAAUCCUGGAGCUCAACUCCAGAACUGCCUUCGAUACUGAGAGUCUCGAGUCCGGGAGAGGUGAGUGGAACUGCGAGUGUAGAGGUGAAAUUCGUAGAUAUUCGCAAGAACACCAGUGGCGAAGGCGGCUCACUGGCCCGGUACUGACGCUGAGGUGCGAAAGGCGUGGGGGAGCAAACAGG
rnacentral:rRNA from 1 species